rnacentral:misc_RNA from 1 species
CGCUUUCUGAAAAUUUAUCUGAUUCCCUAUUACAGCGAUCGUGGUCGAUGGCGUUGUGGGCCUUUAGUCGAACGCGCCCAUACUUCAUUUUCAAUAUGGCGGCAUCGGCGUUCCCAAAUGUCAAUGUAUUGCUUGAGCAUCAUGAGUUUUUCCUAAUAAUAAAGCAUUUUGCUGUAAAAUUAGUUUAAUGAUACGUGUGAUAUUAUUAAUUAUAUAAUAAGCGCAAUUUAAUACCUUACUUAAGAACAAUAUAUUAUAAUAAGUGAUUUUAAAGUAUGAAGUGAUAAUCAAAAAGUAUAUAAAGUUAUAAGUAUUAAUGGCUCAGCGUUUCCCAACGAGUGGGCCUAGCCCUGCUCCUCCUGCAGGUGGCAUGCCGCCCCAGCAGCGGUAUCCUGGACCGGCCCAGCCUCAAGGAUCACCCAUGCCACCUAGGCCAUACUCAGGACCAACAUUCCCGCCCCGGAGCGGGUUCACGCCCCCGCCGGCGGGCGCGGUGGCCGUGGCGGGGGGCGGGGCGGG